GAUGGUCCCUUUUUAGUUAGAAAGGUUUUUCCUCAUGGUGCGGUAGAAAUUCAGAACAUCAGUGAUGGUCGUGUCCUGAACGUCAAUGGUCAAAGACUGAAACCUUAUAUAGAGUGUGUUGCAGAUGGACAGUUAAUUGAAUCCCUUGAUUUGAUGGAUCCUAUUUAUCAGGAUAAUUAAGGAUGCACUGCGUCUGGCUGAAGACGUUAAACUUAGCGCUUGUUGGGAGGCAACCCAAUUUUCAUAGGUUAUUUU
rnacentral:lncRNA from 1 species